CAUUUAUUUUCGUGGGCACCAAUUUUCGUGGAUGAAGGAAAACUUGCAUAUUCGUGGACAUUUAAUUUCGUGGUUUUACCGAAGUCUUUAUACAAGCCUUUGGGACAUUUGUCAUUCGUUGAACAUUUAAUUUCGUGGUUCACCUAAAUCAACGAAAUCCACGAAAAUUGGUAUCCAACGAAUAAUAAUGAAUCCACAGUA
rnacentral:lncRNA from 1 species